UACGUAGGGUGCAAGCGUUGUCCGGAAUUAUUGGGCGUAAAGAGCUCGUAGGCGGUUUGUUGCGUCGGCUGUGAAAUCCCGAGGCUCAACCUCGGGUCUGCAGUCGAUACGAGCAAACUAGAGUGUUGCAGGGGAGACUGGAAUUCCUGGUGUAGCGGUGAAAUGCGCAGAUAUCAGGAGGAACACCGGUGGCGAAGGCGGCCCCCUGGUUGGAUACUGACGCUGAGACGCGAAAGCGUGGGGAGCAAACAGG
rnacentral:rRNA from 1 species